GGGGGUGUAGCUUAGUGGUAGAGUGUGUGCUUAGCAUUUGCAGGCCCUGGGUUUGAUCCCCAGCAUCCCAU
rnacentral:tRNA from 1 species